GAUGAAGAACGUAGCGAAAUGCGAUACGUAAUGUGAAUUGCAGAAUUCAGUGAAUCAUCGAAUCUUUGAACGCAUAUUGCGCUCUCUGGUAUUCCGGAGAGCAUGCUUGUUUGAGUAUCAGUAAACACCUCAACUCCCUUUUCUUUUUUGAAAUGGGAGCUGGACUUGAGUGAUCCCAACGCUUUUCUCACCGGAAAGUGGCGGGUUACUUGAAAUGCAGGUGCAGCUGGACUUUUCUCUGAGCUAUAAGCAUAUCUAUUUAGUCUGCCUAAAAAACAGAUUAUUACCUUUGCUGCAGCUAACAUAAAGGAGAUUAGUUCUUGUGCUGACUGAUGCAGGAUUCACAAAGACAGCUUCGGCCGACUUUGUAAACUCGAUCUCAAAUCAAGUAAGACUACCCGCUGAACUUAAGCAUAUCAAUAAGCGGAGGA
rnacentral:misc_RNA from 1 species